AAUCAAAAAAAAAAAAAAAAAAAAGACAUCUUUAAAAAUCAAUCCCUGGUUGUAGACGAGUUCUCCAAAACCAGUACCUGGCACCACUCCAACAAACGAACGGGGGGUGGGGGCGGGGGAGAAGAGUUCUCGGGUCGGCUCGGCGCUCCGCGCCUCUACUCGGCCGCCUCCGCCGGGGGGCCUUCCGGACUGCACUCGGGCUGGGGCUCCUGCGAGGACGCGGCCGCCGUGGCCGAGGCCGAGGCCGAGGCCGAGGCCGAGGCCGAGGCCGAGGCCGAGGCCGAGGCCGAGCCCGCCGCCGCCUCCUCCGCGGCCGAGGCCGAGCCCGCCGCCGCCUCCUGCUCGGGGCCCGCGGCCGGCGCCUCCGCGGCCUCCCCCGCGGCCUCCCCCGCGGCCUCCCCGGGCUCGGCGGCCUCCCCGGGCCCCGCGGCGGCGGGCGGCUGCUCGGGCGGGCGGCGUCGCGGGGCUGGGCCUCCUGCGGGCCGCCGGCCGCCGCCUGCUCAGCCGCCCGGGGCUCGGCGGCCUCCGCGGCCUCCCCCGCGGCCUCCGCGCCUCGGCCGCCUGCACCUGCGCCUGCACCUGCGCCUGCACCUGCGCCUGCGGCUGCGCCUGCGCCUGCGCGCCCGGCUCGGCGGCCUCGUCCUUGCGGCCGUCUGCGGGCGCGCCCCCCGCCGCCUCGGCCUCCGCCUCGCCCGCCUCCUUCUUGUUCUUCUUGAAGGAGAAGCCGCUCAGCUUGAAGGACUUCUUGAAGGAGAAGCGCUUCUUUUUUUUUUUCGGGGUCUCCCCGCUGGGCGAGGGCGCGGCGCCAUCCUCCGCCUUGGGCGACGACGUGGACGACGCGGCGGACGCGGCCUCCCCCUCGGCGGCCGCCGGCGACCCCGGCGACCCCGGCUCGGCGGCCUCGGCCUCGGGCUCCCUGUCGGCGGGCGCGGCGGGCGCGGCGGCGGGGCGGGGGCGGGGGCGGGGGCGGCCUCGCGGUCGGCGGGCGGCUCCUCCUGCUCGGCGGCCGGCGCCCCGCUCCCCGCGGCCGCGGGCUCCUCCUUGUCGGCGGCCGGGGCGCUGCCGUUGGCCUGCAGCUCCUCCUUGGCGCCCGGCUCGGCGGCCGCGGGGGACGCGUCCCCGUUCACCUUCACGUGGCCGUUCUCCUGCGGGCACACAAGGCGGCAGCGUCACUCGGGCGGCCCCCGGAGGCCCCGCGCCCCGCUGCGGGGGAGGGGGGCGUGCACCCUGCUGGGGGGGGCGUGCAUCCUGCUCCGCGGGGGGGAAGGCCCUGCACCCCGCUGGGGGGGAGGGGGUGUGCACCCUGCUGGGGAGGGAAGGCCGUGCACCCCGCUCCAGGGAGACCCUGCACCCUGCUGGGGUGGGGGGGAGGCCGUGCACCCCGCUCCAGGGAGACCCUGCACCCUGCUGGGGUGGGGGGGGGGAGGCCGUGCACCCUGCUCCAGGGGAGCGUGCACCCUGCUGGGAGGGGGGUGUGGCUGUGCACCCCUCUCCGGAGAGAGGCCGUGCACCCCGCCCCGGGGUGGGGGGAGGUCCUGCACCCAGCUCCAGGGAAGCCCUGCACCCCGCCCCAGGAGGGAGGCGGUGGACCCUGCUCCCGAGGAAAGGCCGUACACCCCGCUCUGGGGAGGCUGUCACCCCGGCUCCAGGGCGGCCGUGCACCCCACUCCGGGGAGGUCCUGCACCCAGCUCCAGGGAGGCCGUGCACCCCACUCCGGGUUGUGGGGGGAGACCGUGCACCCUCCUCCCGGGGAGAGGCCGUGCACCCCGCUCCGAGGGGAGGCCGUGCACCCGGCCCCGGGGGGAGACCGUGCACCCCGCCCCGCGGAGGCCGUGCAUCCCGCUCCGGGGAGGCCCUGCACCCGGCCCCGGGGAGGCGGCGUCGCCGGCCCAGAUGAGCACCCUCCGCGGAGCCGGGGCAGGGCCGGGGCGGCGCCCUGGAGACGCGGCGGCGGCCGGGAGCGCCGGGCAGACGCCCUACGGUCCCACGGCGCCCGGGCCGCGCACGGGGAGCGGCGCAUCGCCCACCGCAGCCCCCGCCUCCCGGGCUCCGCACGAACAAGAGCCACGUAA
rnacentral:lncRNA from 1 species